UGCAAAUCCUUUAUCCCCAGUUCAAAUCUGGGUGCCGCCU
rnacentral:tRNA from 1 species